rnacentral:rRNA from 1 species
CAGCAGGCGCGAAAACUUUACAAUGCUGGAAACAGCGAUAAGGGGACCUCGAGUGCCAGGUUACAAAUCUGGCUGUCGUGAUGCCUAAAAAGCAUUGCAUAGCAAGGGCCGGGCAAGACCGGUGCCAGCCGCCGCGGUAACACCGGCGGCUCGAGUGGUAACCGUUAUUAUUGGGUCUAAAGGGUCUGUAGCCGGCCGGACAAGUCUCUUGGGAAAUCCAGCAGCUCAACUGUUGGGCUUUCAGGAGAUACUGUCUGGCUCGAGGCCGGGAGAGGUGAGAGGUACUUCAGGGGUAGGGGUGAAAUCUUGUAAUCCUUGAAGGACCACCAGUGGCGAAGGCGUCUCACCAGAACGGACCUGACGGCAAGGGACGAAAGCUAGGGGCACGAACCGGAUUAGAUACCCGGGUAGUCCUAGCCGUAAACGAUACUCGCUAGGUGUCGGCCACGGUGCGACCGUUGUCGGUGCCGUAGGGAAGCCGUGAAGCGAGCCACCUGGGAAGUACGGCCGCAAGGCUGAAACUUAAAGGAAUUGGCGGGGGAGCACAAGGGCGAAUCGCGG